rnacentral:rRNA from 1 species
GGGUUACUGAUUGCUUAUUGCACCACAUGUGUUUUUUAUUGAACAAAUUUCUUUGGUGGCGGGAGCAAUCCUACCGCCAGAGGUUAUAACUAAACCAAACUUUUUAUUUACAGUCAAACUUGAUUUAUUAUUACAAUAGUCAAAACUUUCAACAACGGAUCUCUUGGUUCUCGCAUCGAUGAAGAACGCAGCGAAAUGCGAUACGUAAUAUGAAUUGCAGAUAUUCGUGAAUCAUCGAAUCUUUGAACGCACAUUGCGCCCUUUGGUAUUCCAAAGGGCAUGCCUGUUUGAGCGUCAUUUCUCCCUCAAACCCCCGGGUUUGGUGUUGAGCAAUACGCUAGGUUUGUUUGAAAGAAUUUAACGUGGAAACUUAUUUUAAGCGACUUAGGUUUAUCCAAAAACGCUUAUUUUGCUAGGGGCCACCACAAUUUAUUUCAUAACUUUGACCUCAAAUCAGGUAGGACUACCCGCUGAACUUAAGCAUAUCAAAACCGAAGGAA